AGCUGGUGGCAAUGCUGCUGCUCGGGGAGCAGGAGGCUACAUUCUGGGGUGACUGGCCGACCCUUGCCAGGAGCUAGCUCAGAUGAGUUCUCGUUACCACAGCAGGAGACAGGAGGACCUAUUGCGGAAUUGGGUGGUGGAGCCAGCGUCCAGGGAGCUCAGCCACUGUCCGCAUGGGGCUCUGUAGAAAACCAUGCGUCCUGGACAUGCAGCAGGCAGUCUGCCGACAGCCCAAACCAUAGGAAGGAGGGCUCGCUGUUUGCUCUGGAGGGAUAGAUGGUGUUUGCCAGGGGCCCAGUGGGAGAAGGAAACUGAAACCCAGCUCAGUGAGGAAAAGGGAAAAUGGAUCUGGACGUCAUCUACGCAGAUCUGAAAUUUCCUCCUAGAGCUCAACAAACCGAUGUGAAGAAAGCAGAAUCAAAGUCUCCUGCCCUGAAGAGAACUCCAAGCAUUUGGCUAUUGAUAGUGG